GAUGAAGAACGCAGCGAAAUGCGAUAAGUAAUGUGAAUUGCAGAAUUCAGUGAAUCAUCGAAUCUUUGAACGCACAUUGCGCCCCUUGGUAUUCCGAGGGGCAUGCCUGUUCGAGCGUCAUUAUAACCCCUCAAGCUCAGCUUGGUGUUGGGGCCUGCUGCACUGGCAGCCCUUAAAAUCAGUGGCGGCGCCGUCCGGCUCCGAGCGUAGUAAUUCUUCUCGCUCUGGAGGUCCGGUCGUGUGCUCGCCAGCAACCCCCAAUUUUUUUCAGGUUGACCUCGGAUCAGGUAGGGAUACCCGCUGAACUUAAGCAUAUCAAUAAGCGGAGGA
rnacentral:misc_RNA from 1 species